UAGCAAACAAAAAGCCUCCAAAUUAAUUCAAAAACACUUUAAUUUUGCUAUGAAUGAAUAACCCUAAUUUUGGUAAACUUUAUAAACUCCAAUUUUGAUUUUCACCAUAAACGACAAACUUUAAUCAUUAUCUACAAAGGAAAAGAGCUUGAUUCAUACUACUACGAAGAAACUAGAGCUUCCUUCAACGUCUUCUCUCUAAUUCACAUCCUAAAUGUCUCAUUAGAUUAACCUCCGACCGAUGAUGGCGAGAAAAGGGUUUAGAGAUGAUGACUCCGGCGACAGGAACACAUACACACCGCAAUUUUCAUGAUUGUUAACUCACCACACUGAACGAAAUCAGAAAUUUCUUGCCUUUGCUCGAAAUGGGGAGAGAUAGAAGUUUGGGAGUUAUCCCGACACAAAGAAAAAAUAAAAAGACAAAAGAUUUUCUUUUUCCUCUUGUUACAUAAAAUCAACCUAUCAUCUACUACCACGUGUCUGACUUUCUCGGCUUCCAAACUCU